AUUGCUAUACUGCUCUUUGGAUCAUUAUACUCUCCUGGAGGAGAGAUCUAUUCACUGGGAGCUGGAUUCCAGGUGUUGGUACAGGGUGGGCAUGCAUGGCGAGACCCCAGCCAGGCUGUGGAGGCUAAGGGGGGGAGGUGCGGUGGUUAUGGUGUGUGGUGCGGUGCUUAUAGUACUCGUGAUACUAGGAAGCGUGAUUGGUG